rnacentral:rRNA from 1 species
AGUGAACGCUGGCGGUAGGCCUAACACAUGCAAGUCGAACGGCAGCACAGUAAGAGCUUGCUCUUACGGGUGGCGAGUGGCGGACGGGUGAGGAAUACAUCGGAAUCUACUUUUUCGUGGGGGAUAACGUAGGGAAACUUACGCUAAUACCGCAUACGACCUACGGGUGAAAGCAGGGGAUCUUCGGACCUUGCGCGAUUGAAUGAGCCGAUGUCGGAUUAGCUAGUUGGCGGGGUAAAGGCCCACCAAGGCGACGAUCCGUAGCUGAUCUGAGAGGAUGAUCAGCCACACUGGAACUGAGACACGGUCCAGACUCCUACGGGAGGCAGCAGUGGGGAAUAUUGGACAAAGGGCGCAAGCCUGAUCCAGCCAUACCGCGUGGGUGAAGAAGGCCUUCGGGUUGUAAAGCCCUUUUGUUGGGAAAGAAAAGCAGCAGGUUAAUACCCUGCUGUUCUGACGGUACCCAAAGAAUAAGCACCGGCUAACUUCGUG